AGAUUGAACGCUGGCGGCAGGCCUAACACAUGCAAGUCGAGCGGUAGAGAGAAGCUUGCUUCUCUUGAGAGCGGCGGACGGGUGAGUAAUGCCUAGGAAUCUGCCUGGUAGUGGGGGAUAACGUUCGGAAACGAACGCUAAUACCGCAUACGUCCUACGGGAGAAAGCAGGGGACCUUCGGGCCUUGCGCUAUCAGAUGAGCCUAGGUCGGAUUAGCUAGUUGGUGAGGUAAUGGCUCACCAAGGCGACGAUCCGUAACUGGUCUGAGAGGAUGAUCAGUCACACUGGAACUGAGACACGGUCCAGACUCCUACGGGAGCAGCAGUGGGGAAUA
rnacentral:rRNA from 1 species